UACAGAGGGUGCAAGCGUUACUCGGAAUUACUGGGCGUAAAGCGUGCGUAGACGGUUAUGUAAGUCGGGUGUGAAAGCCCCGGGCUCAACCUGGGAAUUGCAUUCGAGACUGCAUAGCUAGGGUGCGGAAGAGGGAAGCGGAAUUUCCGGUGUAGCGGUGAAAUGCGUAGAUAUCGGAAGGAACACCAGUGGCGAAAGCGGCUUCCUGGACCGACACUGACGCUGAGGAGCGAAAGCCAGGGGAGCAAACGGG
rnacentral:rRNA from 1 species